AUGGAUAAUACUUCCAAGAAAAGGGAUACCUGGAAGGGAAAAUGUGACAUAAGUAAACAAGAUAGAACCAAGCUUCAACAAGAAGUUUCGUCUCUUUGGGAGAAGGUUAGUCAUGUAGAGUCUAUUCAAUUGGAGGCAGAAGUUUAUGGAUAUCAUACCUCUCUUACUGCUAGGAUUGUUGAGCUUGAGUCCUCUCUGGAAACGGAGAAAAAGUCUCAAAAGGAGGCUACCAUUACUGCUACUAAGGUGAAAUCUCGUGCUGAGGAGUUUGUAUAA